rnacentral:sRNA from 1 species
UCAUAGCCCUGAUUGCAGCGACAUCCUUUUUCUGCGUUGGCUUGAAAAAAAGUGCUUGCGAAAAAGAUAUAGCGGAAAGCAGGUUCCUGG